AGCACAUGCCUAUGGUCACAGCUACUUGGGAGGCUGAGGUGGGAGGAUCACUUGAGUCCAGGAGGCUGCAGUGAGCUGUGAUUGUGCCAUUUGCCAUUUUAAUGGCAAAACCCGCAAUUACUCUUGCACCAACCUCAUCUCCUAUUUUCAAAAGCCUGGAAUUACACUCCUGGAUUCCAAUUUCAUAACUUUAUUGACAUUAGCGCAUAUUUGUAGAACAUACUUAUAUUUCAUUGAGUCAUAUGGUGAGGUUAGUUUUCUCUAGGGAUUUCACUUUGUCUUUGAUUUACUUUUGUAUUUAAAUUUAGGGAAUUUAUGUUUAGAUGUAUUUACUAUUGAUUAGGGCUGAGGUAAAAAAAGGGAUAGGCAGCUGAUACCCAUGAGGUAGGUGUCAAAAGUUUCUCUUCCUGACUCUUGCCUCAACAUGUCAUACAUUUCUGCACAUGUUUUGGUAAUGGUUCCAUUUUGCAGCCUCUUAACUUGAUUGUUUCGUAAUCUGUUUCUCAGUAUCUUCUUGCACUUUUGUGUCUCUUUUUUUUUUGUCUCUCCAUUAUAUCUUCCAUUCUCUUUUUUAUCUGCCUCCCUUUCUUAAUUGUCCAAAAUGUAGAGUUGACUCUUGAAGAAUGCAAGGCUUAGUGGCUGGUUUCCACCUCAAGGCCGUUGAAAAAUUGUGUAUAACCUUUUACUACCCAUAGACCUAACUACUAAUAGACUAUUGUUGAGCGGAAGCCUUACCAGUAACAUAGUCAGUUAACACAUAUUUUGUAUUAUGCAAAAAGCACAAAGAUUCUGCAUGUGCUGAUGUAGCUGCAUUGACAGUUUCAUGAAUUUUCUCUUUUAAUUAUAAUUAUUAUUUUUUUUUACUAUGGUCCUUUUGCUGAAUUCAUUUAUCUUGAAAUGGUGCACAUCCACAGCUGUAGACUUCAAUCUGGUUCUGGUCCUGUGCU